CGUGUCUUAUCUCUUCCAUUUUCUCUCUCUCUCCAUCCGCUGAUGCAUAUUAUUUCUCGCCCGAGCAUUGUCAAACAAAAUCGCCCUGAUCUUCCCCGCCUGCGCUUCGUCCGUGAUUUGGCGGACGAGCUCGGAUGGCGUUUCAGCCUCCUCUCCCGGCUUCCCAUCAGAGCCACCGGCCGACGCACGACACCACGCCGGAGGCACGACACCGCUCCAGAUCCUCUCCAUCACGCUGUGUGGUGCUUACGGAGCCAGACAUUGACGCGGCGCGCCAUCGGCAAGCGGUGCGAAGGAGCUCUAGGUGUUCGUGCCGGCUUCACCUCCACCGGACUCCCCCUGCCCGAGCUCCUCCCCGGCCCGGUCUCUCUGAAAAGAAGACAUGGAUGAGAAGCCGGAGAUGAGGCUUGCGGCGGCCGGCUUCGAACGGAGGCGGGAGCGGCCCUCGCUGGGGUCGAGAGGCGCUGCAGCGGCUGACGGUGUAAGGCGCCAGGCGGUGGAGCCAGGCAUAUGGGAGGCCUCACCAGCUCACUUCUUUGCCUCUCGCCUUUGCAGCGCCGGCCGUCUUCACUGGUGGCUCUCCAUGACCAAACGACGCCACCACACGGAGCUUCCCCUCUGUCUCGCCUUGCCCCAGCGUCGUCCCCUUGCCCUCGAGUCCAAGCGAGGCUCGCCAAGCAAGGAUGGUGGCGACAAGAAGACGCAUCGCCUCAAUUUCAGUCUUCUCCAAUAAGGACGUGCCCGUCGCCGGCUUGGCCAUUUCCAGAGGUUUGCUGGGAGGUGCGGAUAAGGCCCGAAAAGUGCCUGGCUGGAUAGGAUGGACGCGGAUUGUGCCGUGCGUAUGUAGUUCAUCUGCAGAGCUGCAGCUGAGAAAUGCAGUCUCAUCAGGGUCUCGCUGGCCACUGUCGUCGCCCGCAGUUCCCGCAGCCAGGUUGGCCGUGAUGGAUACCGGCGAAUCAACCACUGCCCGCCUGAUGGUGCACUCAAUGUUGUUCCACUCCCACUGUAGGGGAGCAGGCGGCUGUGGCAUCAGGACCAUCCGGGUCCGGAUCAAUUCGUCGAGUCACAUACCACUUCCACUGAUCUCUUUAGAGUAUAUGAUUGCUUCAGAAAGGUGCUAUCUGCAAUUCGAUAACAUAUACAUAUCCAAAAGAAAUUGUUGGUAUAAUAUUGCUUGAGAAAUAAUCUCUUCCAGGUGUGGGAGCUGAAAGUUGAAAAUGAUCUUAUAAGUCUGAUUAUCUAAAACAUCAAAAUGAUUAAUUUGUAGAUUGUACAGUUUGAAAAUUCUGCCUCUGAAGUAUAGAGGACGUUAUCAUCUGAAACAUCAAAAUGAUUAAUGUGUGAGUUUGGAUUGCCAUGCUAUGCGCAUGGGCACAUGGCCACACACUAGAGAAGUGUGUUCUAUUUCUUCCAAUUUUUUGACAAGCUACUGUAUAUUCUUUCUGCAUAAGAUUUCAAAACCGCAUAUAUUUGACUUUUGAAGCACUUUCUCAAGAUCAUUGUGUCUAAAAAAUUAGUAAUCUCUUACUAUAGCUAUUAUCCAAGAAUUGCAUGUUUUUACUUUUUACUAGAACACUGCAUCGUCAGUCGUCAUGACCAGUUUAUUUAACUGCCUAAUGGAGUUCGGCUCUUGCCCCAUCUUUAGUUACAUGUUUUAGCUUUUUUAAUUACUGAUCUUUAUGUCUGUCAUGUUCACCGUUUUCCAAAUCGCUUCAUUUCUUUGUUGUCAGGAAAGUUCUAUGGUUGAUGGGGAGCUUCAGUAUCUUCGUGUGGCCAUGGGCCAUCAAAAUGAAUCUUUUGAGGAUUUCGUGAAGUCACAUGAUGCAUGCCAAGAGGACCUUAUGUUUUCCCCGAAGAAUAAAAGCUAUGGUCUUGCCAGUGUUGCUGGAAAUGCUGAUAAGAUUUUUGCUUUGCAACACGAGUUUGAAAUUGUGAGGAAGAGAAUGGAUGCUGAAGCAAAGAAAGCAUAUAAGUUACAUGACUAACUUCCAUAUCUGCACAAGACAUGUCUAAUGAUACUUCCAUAUCUGCACAAGACAUGUCUAAUGAUCUGCAUUCUGCUCACCUAUGGAUGCCAGCUCCACCUCUGAUAAAAAAGGAAGGUCAAAGCAUUGGCUACUACAUCAAGAACCAGGCUUCAAUACAAUUCAAAGAGCUGCAGCACCGUUGCUAAUAUAGUUUGCUGACAUAUUGGUAAAUAAAGCAUACGAAGAGUGGAUGCAUGAUGUAGGAUACGAUCGUAAGACACUCCAGAGCUUCAAGCAUAAUCUGUCGCAACCAGAAGUGAUAUAGCAGCAGCUUCAACAAUUAACCAUGCUUCACAUGGUUCAAUCAAUGCACAGAAACAAUUAUUGCGGGAAAAGCUAGCCAAACUUCCGCAGGUACUAUAAAGUCAAGUCAGCUCAGCCUAAGGAUCCAAGAGGAAGAACAAAACCAUGAAUCUGCAGACUAACGUCCGCAGAAGACCAUGUUUAGAGCUGCUGAUGUACGUUCAGUCUAGGAACAAAGACUUCUAUUAUACUGUUGUAUAUAUUAAGUGCCCACCAGGACAAUAAAUUACUUUGUCGUGCUACUAUGUUCUGUAUCAUACUCUGUUUCAUCGGGCUUCCGAGUAUUAAGUGUACGUAUAAGCACUGUCCAAAAAAUCGUUCGAUUCAACGAUUAA